rnacentral:rRNA from 1 species
GACGAACGCUGGCGGCGUGCUUAACACAUGCAAGUCGAACGGAAAGGCCCUGCUUUUGUGGGGUGCUCGAGUGGCGAACGGGUGAGUAACACGUGAGUAACCUGCCCUUGACUUUGGGAUAACUUCAGGAAACUGGGGCUAAUACCGGAUAGGAGCUCCUGCUGCAUGGUGGGGGUUGGAAAGUUUCGUCGGUUGGGGAUGGACGCGCGGCUUAUCAGCUUGUUGGUGGGGUAGUGGCUUACCAAGGCUUUGACGGGUAGCCGGCCUGGGAGGGUGACCGGCCACCUGGGGACUGAGGGACGGCCCAGACUCCUACGGGAGGCAGCGGUGGGGAAUAUUGCACAAUGGGCGGGAGCCUGAUGAAGCAACGCCGCGUGCGGGAUGACGGCCUUCGGGUUGUAAACCGCUUUCGCCUGUGACGAAGCGGGAGUGACGGUAAUGGGUAAAGAAGCACCGGCUAACUACGUG